AUGACAACAACAAAUAUUCAAUUAUCAAUUAGUACACUUGAAAGACGAAAUCACAUCUGAAAGACAAAUCAAAAUUAUAGGUUCUUUUAUGGACUGCCCCACUGUACAUCGCUAUCAGUGUUUCUCCAAUUGUUUUUGUUCUCUUGCGGGGCGGGCAAGACAACAACAGUACAAUGACCGAAAGUAGCCAUGCAAAAACUGAGAGAGGGAGUGGAAAAACAGAAUUGUUGGCCACGACAAAAAAGUCGUAGUAGAAAAUGGCGCUCUCCACUGGAGAUUUUUCUGUUGCUUGCUUUUAUCACCCUCUCUAUCUCUCUUUCUCGUGCGCUCUUUGUGGAAACAGGUAUAACUGUUUGGCUUGAGGGAGCACGAAACUCCCUCCAGUGGAGACUUCUCCUCGGCAGCGAAACAAACGAUCAAAGUGAACACUCUGAUAACGUGUGAAGAACUGUCGACGCACCCUUUUUUUUCUCAGAGAGCCAGGGAAUGGACAAGAAGCGCAAAACCACAUCCCGCAGCAAGCGUCCCUUUCCACCGCUGGAACGAAAGGCAGCUUGAAGAGGAGCGGGUGGCUUCGAGUAUAUGGAAAACAAAGCAGACGACGCUGGAAUGCCGUCGUUGUUUUUGUUGUUGUUAAGCCGGACAUGGCAAUUUUUGCUUAUGUUUUCAAGAGGGGUGGCGAAACUCAUAAAGAUCAAGAGGGCUUUGUGUGCCGUACCUUUAA